CGGUGAUUUCCAAACUUCCUGGAUUCUUUUCAUUUAAAACCGCUCCUUCCGGAAAUUUGGACACCAAAGCGUUUCUUCACGACAAUGUUUCAUUUGAAGUGUUAAAAUGACGGUAGUAUCAAACGUGAUUAUAGCAUAACCUUUUACAGAGGCUAAUUCUUCGACUUUUUCUACAGUCAGUGUGUACACAGUAUAAUGUGUCCAAAUAUCCCGUUCACAAUGAAAAGGACAGGGACCUACAGCUUUUUGUCAGUAUUCUCCUUCUUUGUCGUUUGUGCGUUCGUGUUUAUGUUUUUGUUUUUUGUGUUUUACUCAAUGAUGUACGCACCAUAAGUAAGCUAAGCAAACUUGUUUUUUUUAAAACUCGGUUGCUAUCAAGAAAUACCCAUGGUGCACCGCUUUGUGACGCCUUGUGCAAUCACGUGACCAAAGGAACGCGGAAGUAAGGAUCUCCCAACCAUCUAGUGUCUUGAUGGCGACGUCCACCUCUGCAGACCUCAAGCUGCAGUUUGCGCCCUUCAGCAGUGCACUGGAGGCAGGCUUCUGGCAUCAACUUACGCAGAGGAAACUCAAUGACUACAGGCUGGACGAGAGCCCCAAAUGCAUCAAAGGAUACUACUACAAUGGUGAUCCGUUUGGUUUGCCCACCCGUCUGACCUUGGAGUUCAGUGCAUUUGAUGUAGAUGGGUCCACCACGGCCCAUUGCUGCGAGGCUGUUGGAAAACUAUACAACACUAACACGCUGGAUGCCUUUAAGAGCACUGACAAGAAGGCUCUGCUGGACAAAGAGUCCGAAGAGCUUUGGGAUGCCAUGCGGUCCGGAGAUGCGCUCACAAACCCAAGCAUCCUCUGUAGGUUUAUUCUGCUGACCUUUGCGGAUUUGAAAAAGUACCAUUUCUACUACUGGUUCUGCUUCCCUGCUCUCUGUUUCCCAGAAGGGAUAAAGAUCGUAAAGAAGCCUUCUGUCCUGGAGACGGUUUUCACAGCAAAACAGAUCGCAGCCUUGCAAGAGGCCUAUGAUGGCCUGUGUAUCAAAGGCGGAACCACUUCAGUUCCCUAUUUCCUCAUGAAGUACACAGAUGAUGCCGUUCAGUUAGCCCCAUUAGCAGAGUGGGCGACAUUCUUUCCCGAUGCACAAAAGGUCGCCGUGGGUGUGUAUGAUCCGUGUACUCUGUCUCAACAUCCAGGAUGGCCUUUGAGAAAUCUACUGGUCCUCUUAGCUAGCCAGCGGGACGCAAAGGUGGACACGGUGGAGGUGCUGUGUUUCAGGGACCGAACCCUGCAGGGAAGCCGUUCCAUUCAGCAUAGCGUCAUUUUUCAGGUCAAACUACCUGAACUCCCAUUCGACUCUGCAUGUCCUAAGAGUGUUGGUUGGGAGAAGAAUGCCAAGGGAGCGAUGGGACCCCGAAUGGUCAACCUCAGUGAAUGCAUGGACCCCAAAAGGCUUGCAGAGUCAUCAGUCGAUCUUAACCUGAAACUGAUGCGAUGGAGACUAGUCCCUUCGCUGGACCUGGACAAGGUGGUCAGCACAAAGUGUCUUCUGCUGGGAGCUGGGACCCUAGGCUGCAAUGUGGCCAGAACUCUGAUGGGAUGGGGAGUGAGACACAUCACCUUUGUGGACAACGCGAAGAUCUCCUACUCCAAUCCGGUGCGACAGCCUCUCUAUGAGUUUGAAGAUUGUCUCGGAGGAGGGAAGGCCAAAGCCAUCGCCGCUGUUGACCGACUCACCAAAAUCUUUCCUGGUGUGAAUGCAGAGGGCUUGAACAUGAGCAUUCCCAUGCCAGGCCACCCAGUGAAUUUCUCCCAAGCCACUCUGGCCCAGGCCCAGAGAGACGUGGAGCAGCUGGAGAAGCUCAUCUCGGAACACGAUGUGGUCUUCUUACUAAUGGACACAAGAGAGAGCCGCUGGCUGCCCACCGUGAUUGCGGGUAGUAAGAGGAAGUUGGUGAUCAACGCUGCUCUGGGCUUCGACACAUUCGUGGUCAUGCGCCACGGCCUGAAGAAAGCUCGACAAAAUGCGUGCGGCGACGUGGAUUCCUCCCCUUCCUGUUCAUCCGCGUCCUCUUCGUCCUCCACGCCAGCCGGCUCAGCGUCCUCUCUGUUCUCAAACAUUCCCGGACACAAGCUGGGCUGCUACUUCUGCAACGACGUUGUGGCGCCAGGAGAUUCAACCCGGGAUCGGACUCUGGACCAACAGUGCACUGUAAGCCGACCAGGCCUGGCCAUGAUUGCUAGCGCCUUGGCUGUGGAGAUGAUGGUGUCUAUUCUGCAGCACAGUGAAGGAGGCUACGCAGUGGCAAGCAGCAGCAACGACCGAAUGAAUGAACCUCCCACGUCGCUUGGCCUUGUUCCACAUCAGAUCCGCGGCUUCCUCUCCAGAUUCGACAACGUCUUGCCUGCCAGCCUGGCCUUCGACAAGUGUACUGCGUGCUCGCCCAUUGUCCUGGACCAUUAUGAAAAGGAAGGCUUCCACUUCCUGUCGAAGGUGUUUAACUCUUCACACUCCUUCCUGGAGGACCUUACAGGAUUGACAUUGUUACAUCAGGAAACCCAGGCAGCAGAGGUAGCUGGAGUUUAUCCCAGCUGACUUUUGGCGUGAGAAGCGGGUUAAACCCUCGACUGGUCGGCAGUUAUUUGCAGAUUUGGGACAUGAGUGACGACGAGAGCAUCUGAGGAACCAAAAAUCUUGAAAAGAAGUACGUCACAGCCAUCACGAAUCUGUGUUUCGACUCACUCCGGAAGCCUUUCGAGGUGGAAAGACCAAAACACUCAUCUUCUGACAAGUUUCCACCAACUCCACAUCCAAACCAAUAGUUUAAACUUGAAUGUACCACUUCUGGUGUUUUGAUUGUGAAUCAGUAAUAUUUACACACUGAAUACUCACUUUUUUUCAUUCUCUGGAAUACAUGUCUAAGACAAAUGGUGUCCGUUUGUAGUCAUCAGCAACCAAAUGGUGUGUGUUAAUUCUAUCAUGGAUUUAUUUUGUGUAUAUUAUUGCUACUUCUGUACUCAUCUAAUAUAUUGUACACAUCAUGGAUUUAUUUCUCAAAACCUCUUGCAUUGGAUCUCAUUUGAUUGUGCUAAUAUUACAGUUGAUCAGUGUGUAAUUCAUGUCACUAAAUAUUGGAGCAAAA